GUGAGGAAUAUUGGUCAAUGGGCGAGAGCCUGAACCAGCCAAGUAGCGUGAGGGAUGACUGCCCUAUGGGUUGUAAACCUCUUUUGCAGGGGGGUAAAGUGGUUCACGUGUGGACCAUUGCGAGUACCCUGCGAAUAAGGAUCGGCUAACUCCGUGCCAGCAGCCGCGGUAAUACGGAGGAUCCGAGCGUUAUCCGGAUUUAUUGGGUUUAAAGGGAGCGUAGGCGGGGGUUUAAGUCAGCUGUGAAAUGCCGUGGCCCAACCAUGGAACUGCAGUUGAAACUGGACCUCUUGAGAGUACAUAAGGAAGGCGGAAUUCGUGGUGUAGCGGUGAAAUGCAUAGAUAUCACGAAGAACUCCGAUUGCGAAGGCAGCUUUCCGGGGUACAUCUGACGCUGAAGCUCGAAAGUGCGGGAAUCAAACAGGAUUAGAAACCCGGGUAGUCC
rnacentral:rRNA from 1 species